CCCUUAGAUGUCCUGGGCCGCACGCGUGCUACACUGACGCAUACAGCGAGCACUUUCCAGUUCCGAGAGGCUACUGGUAAUCAUCAAUAUGCGUCGUGAUGGGGAUAGAUCUUUGGAAUUCUGGAUCUUGAACGAGGAAUGCCUAGUAAUCGCAGGUCAUUAGCCUGCGAUGAUUAAGUCCCUGCCCUUUGUACACACCGCCCGUCGCUACUACCGAUUUCGAGUGGUCAGGUGAAUCUUUCGGACUGUGGGCGCCCUUGAGGUGUUCGCGGAAAGUCAGGUAAAUCUUAUCACUUAGAGGGAGUAAAAGUCGUAACA
rnacentral:rRNA from 1 species